rnacentral:rRNA from 1 species
CGUGUAGGCGGUCAUGUAAGUCAGAUGUGAAAUCCUUCCGCUUAACGGGAGAAGUGCAUUUGAAACUACAUGACUAGAGUACGGGAGAGGAGAGUGGAAUUCCCGGUGUAGAGGUGAAAUUCGUAGAUAUCGGGAGGAACACCAGUGGCGAAGGCGGCUCUCUGGAUCGAUACUGACGCUGAGACGCGAAAGCGUGGGGAGCAAACAGGAUUAGAUACCCUGGUAGUCCACGCUGUAAACGAUGGGCACUAGGUGUAGGAGGUAUUGACCCCUUCUGUGCCGAAGCUAACGCAUUAAGUGCCCCGCCUGGGGAGUACGGCCGCAAGGUUAAA